CACCGUGACGCAGCACCGGAACAACCGUCUUCACGCACGUCAGUUUACCGGCGUCUCCAUCAAAGCGGCGAACACACAGCGGAGGGUUUCCCGUCAUUAACGGUUUGAAAAACAAACGAACAGCCGAAGAUGUUGUCGAUAGGCGGGUUCUCGGUGGCUCUCGCGCUCGCUCUGUUUCCCGGUUCCGGUGACGCACUGAAAGAGGGGGAUUGUGAAGUGUGUGCGGCCUUCCUCGGGAAGUUCUACCAGUCGCUGGAGGGAAACAACGUAAAGUUCAACAGCGCCGACAUCGAGCAGGCCCUCGUAAAGUUGUGCAAAGAUGCCAAAGGGAAAGAAAACCGCUUCUGUUACUACAUCGGGGCGACGAGCGACGCCGCCACCAAGAUGAUCAACGAGGUGUCCAAGCCCCUCAGCCACCACGUCCCCGUGGAGAAGAUCUGUGAGAAGCUCAAGAAGAAGGACAGUCAGAUCUGUGAGCUGAAAUACGACAAACAGCUGGACCUGACCACCGUGGACCUGAAGAAGCUGAAGGUGAAGGACCUGAAGAAGAUCCUGGAGGAGUGGGGCGAGUCCUGCAAAGGCUGCGCCGAAAAGUCCGACUUCAUCCGCAAGAUCACGGAGCUCAUGCCCAAGUACGCCCCCGCGGCCGCCAAAGCACGGACAGACCUGUGAGCGCGGAGCCAAGGCAAGACUUUGGACUCGGACCGGACCGCUGAGGAAGAGGAGGAGUCUGUGCUCGCUGGUAAUCUUCCCUUCCUCACAAGUAUAGCUAUCGGUCCUCCACUAUAUUCUCAAGUCAAGUGUCAAGUUUGUUAGCGGCGAGCAGCUGGAAGUCAAAGUCUCCGCUUCCUGUUCCACAAGUCUCCCCUUUGCUCCCCCGUAACGCCGAGCAGCUCUUUCUGGAAGAUUAUUCACCUCCCAAUUUCACCCUGAUUUUUAUUUUUUGCUGACGCCCCCUCGAGGAGGACGUUGUUGAGCUGAUGCUUAAAAUGAUAUGGACACAUUAUGUGAGUCCUGUUGACACAACAAUGUCUUCACAAUAAUAACUGUGUGUGUGUGUGUGUGUGUGUGUGUGUGUGUGUGUGUGUGUGUGUGUGUGUGUGUGUGUGUGUGUGACUCCAUCCACUAAAACAUUAUUUUGACAGAACAGACGCUGAUGUUGGCGCCUCCCUCGGUUUCUAAGUCCUACUGUGAUUCUGUUUAAAGGCUUCAGAUUCGCUGCUAAAUGUUCUAGUUAAAGAUCUCGUGGUUUUAAAGUGGAUGAAAAUAUUCCAAAUACAGAGUUCACUUGUCAUUUUUUUUUAUUUGUCUAAAACGAGUUGUCUUUUCGGUUAAAUGGCUGUUUUUGUGGAUGGAGUCUGGUGUCUGACGAGUCGUCUCCUCCGGUCCUGAGAACCUCACACGGUCCCUUUUAAACCUGAGGAGCCCCUUGAUGACCUCUACAGAUGUUCCGACUGGCCUCCCUCAUUCCCCCAAACGUCUCUCAGAGAGAAAGGGAGGUUUUAACUUUUGGUUCAUACUUUAAUUACAACGACACUCCCAUCUGGAUGAGAAUGAACGCUUAGAAUAAACAGCUGGAAAAGCUCCGUGCUUCUUGAACUAAAUGAGAAUGUUUAGUGUGGAAGAUGAUGUGAUGUUUACUACAUUUGUUUUAGUUUUUUACAAAAGCCAGAUUGGUUCUGUUGGUUCUUUAGUUUUUUUUCUUUUUAAUCCAACUGGACCAGAACAAAACUUUUCAGUGAUGAGAAAAAUAAAGAAGAAUUGGACUGAAGUUAAAUGUUUUUUUAAAUGCUUUUACUGGUUGCAACUGUUAUUAUUGCAGAUAUACAUUUCUCUUUAUUGGUUAUUCAUUCUAAAUAUUUUUGUUUACAUAAUAAAUGUGAUGGAGUAAAUGACCCUGGUAAAGAGCUUUGAGUGGAGGUGGAGGUGGCUACACGGAAGGUGCUUCUACGUCAGGCCUGUGGACCACGUCUCCUGAUGUUGGCUGGGAUUGACCCCCCCAAGUUACAACAGGAUAGAAGCGUGUAUUUUUCUGUCCAUGAGGUUCAAGUAUAAGUACACAAAUCAGUGUUGUAGUUGUGGUCAUUGCUUUAGUAUGAUGUAAUUCUAGAUAUUACACCAGUUAAAGGCGUUGAAGUACUCGAUUCCUGCAUUCAAGUAAGUCGGUCAAGUUCACAGCUGUGUUGUAUAUUAGCAGUUUAAUGUUGUACAUUACGAGAUAAUGAACAUAAUAGAAUCUCCUGAUACUGGCGGUUAAAUCCAACUCAGCAUAAAUGGAUACACAGAACAUUAAAUAAUAGACCUGUA